rnacentral:lncRNA from 1 species
AACGCUGCCCCCGCUCUCCUCGGACCAUUGUGUUUAGUACAGGACUUUUGACUUAGCCAUCAUUACUCACACUUUACUGAUUUUACUUUAAACACUGUUGGCUAAAACGACAAUUUAUCAAGACUGUUUUGCCUAGCAGUUGGGGAUAAUUUAUUUUCCCGUUGAAGGGUUUGAUAUUUAUUAGCGCGGCAGCGGGCCGGUCAGCAGAGAUCCACACUCCAGGGGACAGGCUCUGAGACCAGCUUCAUGGCCUCUGCUCCGCCCUCUCCCGCUCCCACGCUCCUAAGGCAAUUCCGAGCUGGUGCCUGAGGAUGCUGAGGGGAGAGACAACUGUGGGGCUCUUUCUUUUGGGAAAGGGAAGCUCAGGGUGUUCUGCUUCCCUCCGCUAGGAAGCUGGACCCACAGCUGUGAAGAUGCAUAGCCAGCAAUCCCAGGGGGAGAGGUGAGCCCCCAAAUCCUCUCCUCAUCGGUAGAUUCUCCGAGAUCCCUGGUGUGCAGAUGAGAACUCAUCACAGAAAUAUGUGUAUCUGUACAGAGAACUCGCUCAACUUCAGAAGCCAAACAGCAUCUGGUUACAAGAGAUUACUCAGGGAAACCAGAUGCCACUGUGUGAGCAAUACCAUGGAGAGACCCACAGGCUGAAGAAUCAAAGCCUCCUGCCAGUAGCCAUGCAAAUGAGCUUGAAAGUGGGUCCGCCAUCCCAGCCAAGCCUUGAGAUGACUGCAGCCCCAGCCAACAUCUUGACUGCAACCUCAUGAAAAACUCUGAGCUGCAAUUACCAGCCCAGGCACUCCUGAAUUCCUGACCCUCAGAAACUGUCUUAGAUAACAAGCAUCUGUUUGUUUAAGGUGCUAAGUUUUGGUGCAAUAUGUUACUUAGCAAAAAGAUUGAUUGACUGAUUGAUUAUUUAAAUUUACACAUAUAAUCUAUAAAUUUAAAUACAUAUUAUUUUACAUAUUCAUUUUCUGUCUUCCCCACUGAAAGAUCUAACACAUUCACUCUUGUAUUAUCAGUGCUUAGAACUCUGCCUAACACACAGCAGGCACUCAAUAGAUAUUUGCAGAAGAAACAAUUAAAAUGUGUUACUGCUUUUAGUAACACAUUUUAACAUCAAUAAAACAUUUAUCACUGUACAGCCUAAAAAUACCUGCAUUGUCUCAGUGAAUCCUAUGUCUAACAGUAAACUAGAUAUGCCUUCCAUUUCAUAAUGGAAAACCAGCAGUUCCAAGACCUCUGGUGAUUUGUUUAUGGCCACCCUACCACUGUAUUAUAGAGCUAGUGUUCCAAACCCCAGCUUCUGAUUUCAACCCCGGGAAUUUUUCUCCUACACACAUUGACUCUUAUCAGUCAUCCACAGAAGAUGAGCUCUGUCAUUCCGACAUUCAUGUUUCUGCACAAAGCAUCCAGCAUGUUCGUGUUCUGGGGCAGCUACCUCUUGUCCAUCCAUCUUGUGGCUUGACUUAUCAGGCUCACUUGACCCAAUGUCAACACUGGGUGGAAAAAUUCCUGUGUGGGAGCACAGCAUUGUUAAUUUCUCUUUUAAGUGGUAAUGUAAUACCAUUUAAUACCCAAUACAUUACAUGGGUUUUCUUUCCUCUACCAAAACUAUAAAAGGAAGCAAAAACAUGCUUAACAGUCCCCAGGACUCGAUUUUAAAUAUACUACCAAGCUCAAACUCUCCAAAGACUUCUAAAUGUGGAUCAUUUCUUCAAUCCCUACACAAACAUUUUUUUGAAUGAUAGCAAGUUCUGAAGUAUCUGUGGUGUUUCACCACUGAGCAGAUUAUCUAAGAAUCCUCCUUUCUCCUGCCCAAUUAAGUCCCAGUUUGGUACAGGUGAGGAAGAGCAUGUGUUUAGUUGAAAUCAAGACAAAGUAAUCCAGAAAAGGCUUCACAACUAAGUUAGAACGUGUUUCUUUGUGCCAUUCUUAAACCAAAUAUAAUCUGAUUUCCAGGGAUGAAAAAGAUAUCAGAUGCAUAUGUUAAAUUAAUUUGCCUUAAAAAUCGAGUUUUUGAAAUGUUUUUGGUAUCACAUUCACUGAUAAUUACCAUUAUCAUUUCUCACGUUUCUGUAAGAAAAUCCUGACCCAAGAUAGAAUUAUUAAAUUUUAAUCAAAUUAGGAUCCCAGAUUUGUUUCAAAGGCAUUCUUGGGUUUGUUGACUCUGAUUUAUAUAUAAAAUGGAGAUAAUAAGACCCCCACCUCAUAGAUUUGUUGUUGUGAGGAUUAAAUAAGUGGUUAGAAGAGCGCCUGG